rnacentral:rRNA from 1 species
GAUGAACGCUAGCGGCAGGCUUAAUACAUGCAAGUCGAGGGGCAGCACGGUUAGCAAUAACUGGUGGCGACCGGCGCACGGGUGCGUAACACGUAUACAAUCUACCUUAAACAGGGGGAUAGCCUUUCGAAAGAGAGAUUAAUACCCCGUAAUAAAUUGAACGGCAUCGUUUGAUUUUGAAAGCUCCGGCGGUUUGAGAUGAGUAUGCGUCUGAUUAGCUAGUUGGUGAGGUAACGGCUCACCAAGGCGACGAUCAGUAGGGGAUCUGAGAGGACUAACCCCCCACACUGGUACUGAGACACGGACCAGACUCCUACGGGAGGCAGCAGUAAGGAAUAUUGGUCAAUGGGAGGCAACUCUGAACCAGCCAUGCCGCGUGCAGGAUGACGGCCCUAUGGGUUGUAAACUGCUUUUAUACAAGAGAAAACCCUGGUACGUGUACCAGGUUGAUAGUAUUGUAAGAAUAAGCAUCGGCUAACUUCGUGCCAGCAGCCGCGGUAAU